AGACAGGUUAGUUUUACCCUACUGUUGUGGUUGCAAAUAAUAGCAAUUGAGCUAAGUACGAGAGGAACGGUUCAAUCGGAUACUUGGUACUGCACUCGAUGGGGGCAUCGGUGGUGCGAAGCUACAUCCGUGGGUUAAUGACUGAAAGCAUCUAAAGUCAGAAACCCUACUAAAUGUUUACAGA
rnacentral:rRNA from 1 species